GAACUGCGAUAGUAAUGUGAAUUGCAGAAUUCAGUGAAUCAUCGAGUCUUUGAACGCACAUUGCGCCCCCUGGCAUUCCGGGGGGCAUGCCUGUCCGAGCGUCAUUGCUGCCCUUCAAGCCCGGCUUGUGUGUUGGGUCGUCGUCCCCUCCGGGGGACGGGCCCGAAAGGCAGCGGCGGCACCGCGUCCGGUCCUCGAGCGUAUGGGGCUUUGUCACCCGCUCGAUAAGGACCGGCCGGGCGCCAGCCGGCGUCUCCAACCUUUUUUUCUCAGGUUGACCUCGGAUCAGGUAGGGAUACCCGCUGAACUUAAGC
rnacentral:misc_RNA from 1 species